AUAACCCCGGGAAACUGGGGAUAAUUCCGGAUAACGCACAUAUGCUGGAAUGCUUUAUGCGUAAAAUGGAUUCGUCUGCCCAAGGAUGGGUCUGCGGCCUAUCAGGUAGUAGUGGGUGUAAUGUACCUACUAGCCAACAACGGGUACGGGUUGUGAGAGCAAGAGCCCGGAGAUGGAUUCUGAGACAUGAAUCCAGGCCCUACGGGGCGCAGCAGGCGCGAAAACUUUACAAUGCGGGAAACCGUGAUAAGGGGACACCGAGUGCCAGCAUCAUAUGCUGGCUGUCCGGGUGUGUAAAAUACACCUGUUAGCAAGGGCCGGGCAAGACCGGUGCCAGCCGCCGCGGUAACACCGGCGGCCCGAGUGGUGAUCGUGAUUAUUGGGUCUAAAGGGUCCGUAGCCGGUUUGGUCAGUCCUCCGGGAAAUCUGACGGCUCAACCGUUAGGCUUUCGGGGGAUACUGCCAGGCUUGGAACCGGGAGAGGUAAGAGGUACUACAGGGGUAGGAGUGAAAUNUUGUAAUCCNUGUGAGACCACCUGUGGCGAAGGUGUCUUACCAGAACGGGUUCGACGGUGAGGGACGAAAGUUGGGGGUACGAACCGGAUUAGAUACCCGGGUAGUCCCAGCCGUAAACGAUGCUCGCUAGGUGUCAGGCAUGGCGCGACCGUGUCUGGUGCCGCAGGGAAGCCGUGAAGCGAGCCACCUGGGAAGUAUGGUUGCAAGGCUGAAACUUAA
rnacentral:rRNA from 1 species